GUGCUUCCGAAAGGUUGCGCAUCUAUUAAAAUUGGAACGAUACAGAGAAGAUUAGCAUGGCCCCUGACGCAAGGAUGACACGCACAAUCGUGAAGCGUUCCAAAUUUUU